rnacentral:rRNA from 1 species
CGCCUGUUUAUCAAAAACAUUUCUUUUAGUUUACAUUAAAAGUAGGGUCUGCCCACUGUAGACAUAAAGGGCCGCGGUAUACUGACCGUGCUAAGGUAGCAUAAUCAUUAGCUUCUUAAUUAGAAGAUUGUAUGAAUGAUUGAACUUUAAAUUGUUUUAUUUUAAAUAAAUUUGUAAUUUAGAAUUUAAGUAAAAAUACUUAAAAGCUCCUGUUAGACGAUAAGACCCUAUAGAUCUUGAUUAAAAGGCUCUAGGGGGUUGAGUAGUGGUAGACCUUCGAGGGCUGUUUUAAUUUAAUUGGGGCAAUUGAAGAAUAUAGAAAACUUCUUUAAAAUAAAAGUUUAAAUUUGUUUAAUCCCUUUUGGGAGAUUAAAAAGUUACCUUAGGGAUAACAGCGUAAUUAGUUUUUAGAGCCCGUAUCGAGAAACUAGUUUGCGACCUCGAUGUUGAAUUAGAAAGUCUUUUUAGGGCAGAAAAUUAAAAAGAUGGUUUGUUCAACCAUUAAAUUUCUACAUGAUUUGAGUUCAAACCGGCGUGAGCCAGGUUGGUUUCUAUCUUCAGGUUUAGUUAAGCUUUUUAGUACGAAAGGAUUGAUAGCUUAAAAUAAUUUUAUAUGAAAAUU